rnacentral:rRNA from 1 species
UACGUAGGGGGCAAGCGUUGUCCGGAAUCAUUGGGCGUAAAGCGCGUGUAGGCGGCCCGGUAAGUCCGCUGUGAAAGUCGGGGGCUCAACCCUCGGAUGCCGGUGGAUACUGUCGGGCUAGAGUGCGGAAGAGGCGAGUGGAAUUCCUGGUGUAGCGGUGAAAUGCGCAGAUAUCGGGAAGAACACCCGUGGCGAAGGCGGCUCUCUGGGACGGUACUGACGCUGAGACGCGAAAGCGUGGGGAGCGAACAGG